rnacentral:rRNA from 1 species
CAGUAGCCGCGGUAAUACAGAGGGUGCGAGCGUUAAUCGGAUUUACUGGGCGUAAAGCGUGCGUAGGCGGCUUCUUAAGUCGGAUGUGAAAUCCCUGAGCUUAACUUAGGAAUUGCAUUCGAUACUGGGAAGCUAGAGUAUGGGAGAGGAUGGUAGAAUUCCAGGUGUAGCGGUGAAAUGCGUAGAGAUCUGGAGGAAUACCGAUGGCGAAGGCAGCCAUCUUGCCUAAUACUGACGCUGAGGUACGAAAGCAUGGGGAGCAAACAGGAUUAGAUACCCGAGUAGUCCCUGUCUCUUAUAC